rnacentral:rRNA from 1 species
UUCGUAGGCGGUGUGGCAAGUUGGGAGUGAAAUCUCUGGGCUUAACCCAGAGGCUGCUUCCAAAACUGCUGUGCUUGAGUGUGGGAGAGGCGCGUGGAAUUGCAGGUGUAGCGGUGAAAUGCGUAGAUAUCUGCAGGAACACCCGUGGCGAAAGCGGCGCGCUGGACCACUACUGACGCUGAGGAACGAAAGCUAGGGGAGCAAGCAGGAUUAGAUACCCUGGUAGUCCUAGCCCUAAACGAUCGGGACUUGGGGUGCCGCACGUUCGUGCGUCGUCCCGGAGCUAACGCGUUAAGUCCCGCGCCUGGGGAGUACGGUCGCAAGACUGAA